GCCGCCGCGGCGGCGGGGGCUCCCUCCUCCUGCGCGCGGGCCCAGCCCGGCCGCCAGCUCGCCCUCGACUCCUGGGGACAGCUCGCAGGCUCCCCCCCCGAACGGCUCCCGGCCGCCCCCGAGCCCGCCCCGCUCCCGCCGCCUCCGCUCCGCCCCUGCUCCCUCGGGUGCGGGGGCCGCGGGCGUUGGGAACGAGGUCCCUGCAGAGUCACCUCCUGGCCGCGCGCAGCGUCCUGGGGUUUCCCUGCGGGAAUCGCUUGUCGUGGGUGUUUGGACUCACGUGCGGGUACGGGGUGGCCAAGAGCUGGAACUCUCGCCCGUGAGCUCCGGGGAAGGGGGUGAAGGCCGGACCUGAAAGUCGCCCUUUGCUCCGCCCGAGUCCCCAAAAGCAACCCUACGAGGUGGCCACGCCGGCUGCCCGGAGAGAGGCCCAGGAAAAUGUCUGACUCUUCCUCCGCCCAGCGCGGGGCUGGGAGGACAUUUCCCGGGAGAACCAAAGACCCCUCCCCCCUGCUACCGCCUCGGGUUGGGGACUCUGGCGAAGAGAAUAUGCAGAACUGGCAGGCGGGGCACCAGGCUGGAACCUGUGGAAAAGGGCACAAAAGGCUAAGCCAUGGAAAGUUCAAGAGUCUGGAAGAGACCUGCCUGAGUAAAAAGUUUCUCCUUCUCUUCUCAUUAAGAGGAAAGUCAUCUCUCAAACGGAACCUUAUUAAACUUACAUCCUUUCUGAAUAUGGUAAUCCCUCUGCAUCUAUUAGUUAUUUUAAUUUUAUAUUCCUGGUACAAUCUGAUUCCAAAAAGUGUCCAGUCAGCUGAUGGGGAUAAAGGAUCUACUUUUUUCCUGGGAAAAAUUCUAGUGGCCAAAAAGAAUGGGAGAGUUUAUUUAGAGCCAGUAGAAUUGGUCUCAGGCAGUGUUAAGAUGGAGAUGGACAUUCCUCAGUAAACCUCGCCUUUUUUUCAAUUUGCCUUCACAGUAGCCUUGUCCACCUAAUACUGCCAGUUCUCCAAGCCAGUCCACCUCAAACAGAAGUGUUAGGGACUUUGGGUGCUGUUGCCUACUAGUGUUUGUCUUGGAAAAGUGACAUUUUGAGUAGAAAUGACAGAGUAAAGGAAGAUCCAUGGAGAAUCUUUCCUAUACUCCUCAUUUGCAGACUUUUCUGGUAGUCAUUUCAUUGUAAAAAUGGGUCCGGUGGCGAGCAGGCUUCUUUAAAAAGAAAGAAAAUUGUGCUCUUCCUCAUUCCACAGCACUUCAAAUAGGGUCUAAGGGCACCCAACCUGGAAUGAGAACAGGUUACAUUCAAAUCGUAGAGUAAGCUUCAAAUUGGUUAUAUCAAACAGUCGAAUUUGCUUAUGCAUAUUCAUAACGAUAAGAGAAAAUAUUAAUUUCAAUUUACAAGUCGUCAAAAAGCACCUGUGGGCCACAUAAUGAAUAGCCCCGUGUUAAAGUAAUACAUGUUUGUUCUUUCACAAAUAAAUUUUCCUCUGAAAUAUAGACAUCUGUC
rnacentral:lncRNA from 1 species